UCUUAUGUUUAAAGUCAUUAAAGAUGGAUUCCAUACAGUCAUUCCAACCUGUAACAAGAACAAUUCAAAUAAGUCAUUUAAAGGCCCAAAUUUCCAUGACAUUCAUGCCUUUGAUAAGUGUGUGUAAACGUCUGAUCACAGUUGUAUAUCACACGUGUCAUCCAGACUGAGAAUUACAACAAUAAAGACCUUUCAGUCAAGUCUUAGGUCUACUGUGUAACAGCUUUAUCUCAUGAUUGUGUAUCGUGUUGUUCCACAGUAUACAUCACCUUUUAAUUUUAUUGCAUCUGGGAAAUCCAUCAGAAUCUAAUUAUUUAUGCCCAUCUAUCGAGUCUAACCCCACAAGGUGCAUAUCAGGGACCCUUGAUCCACCUGUGCUACUUCACCACUUUAUCUGUCUCUUAUUUCUGUCUCUUCUCUCCUUUAUCUGUGUGUAUGUCUUUUGUCUGAGUGAGUUGACCUCACCUUGUCUCUCAGGGGCGGGGUUUGUCCCAGGUCCAGCUCUUCAGUUCCACACAUGGACGUAAUGAGCUCACCUGUUUGCAAUCAGUUCUUCCCCUGCUAGUUCUUAAGGUGGUGAAUCAUCUUCAGUCUUUGCUGGAUUGUUGAAUGAACCACAGCUAGUGAAGCUGGCUUGCUUGUCCUGUGGAGUUGGGGGCUGUUGCUUCCUCAAGGACUCACCUGCAAGCUGAGUGUUCUUUCUUUCCUGCACCUGCUUCUUUUAUCCAGUUGGCUCUGCAAUCUGCCUGAAGACUGAGUGUACCUGCGGAGACUAAUGUUACCCUGACGAGUUUAAUGUCUUGGCCAAACAGCCACACUCUCCUGCGCGCACAAGACCUGAGCCUGCUCCGGUUCUUUCAUGACCUCAUCAAAUCCUGCCUACCAAAGGCUUCACUCUUCCUUGGCCACUGCUGAUCUUUCUUUUCCAUUGGAAACUCCACCCCACUCUUAUAGGGGGCGGGGCCAGCCUGCCUUCUAGCUUUAUUUGUGCUUUGACCUUUUAUUUUUUCUAUCCCCCAUUUAUUUAUUUUUUUUCUUCCACCUGUGGGGUCUGGUAUUGUCACAAAGUAAAACCUAAUGAAAUAAAAAGAAAUUGGCUAUAAGAGCAGCUGGAGCAGGGUUUUCUUCUUUAGGACCCUGGUUCUACUAGCUAGAGCUGCUGUGUUCAUGUGCACAAUUGGUGCAUGUACAAGUUUAUCAAAUCACCACCAGAAUUUAAAUUUAAAGCAUAACUAAAGAUGUGUGUAUUUGUAAUGACCAGUUACCUGCUGAUCCCUGCUGCACUUACGCCUCUCUUGAAUAUCCUUCUAUUAUGUUUGCUGCACUCUUCUACUGCGCCCCAGAAAGCUUUCUUACAUGGAUCAAAUGGAAUAAGAAGCUAUGCGUAGACUGAAACAGCAUGCACAUCUUUCCUUCUGAGCACCAACGGCUUUCCUGUCUAAAACAAGCGGUUCCCUCGGGGUGCUUCCAAUUAGCAAUGGUACAUCUGUGCUGAUUACUCGAUAGCUUCUUAACCUCUGCCAGCAAAGCAAGCCAAAGUUGAGAGAAGUUCUUGAUGCCCAUUCUAACAAAGUGAAGUGGCAUACAUUCAAAACAAAGUCAAGCAGUGCAUGUCACUGACCUAUUUGCCUUUUUGAAGAGGGGCUUGAGUUUGGUCUGAGAUGAGUUUAGUUUGGGAUUUUCCUUGAAAUAUUUUAAAAUGCCAAACUGGUAGCUGGAAAACACUCCCUCCAAAGCACAGGAACAGUCUGGCUCGUACCAUCCUGCCUGUCAUAUCUUUUAGCCACAAAAUUGAAACCGCUUUAAUAAAUCCAACAGCUUUCUAACAUUCUGCAGAUGUUUGUAAAUCUAACCUGAAAUGUUCCUAUUCUUUAAAUUCAGCCUUAUUUUUCUUUAUCCUUAGUGCAGAUUUAUGCAGGUCAUAUUGAACCACGAUGUUCACUGAUUCCAAAGGAUGAAGGUAACAAUCCACAGCUGCCACACGCAGACGUGUCAGACAAAGAUGGCCAGGUCAUGCCUGGGCAUGACACACGUAAGUGAACAAUCCUCUGAAACUGCAGAGUUCUCCCUGACGAGAGCAACAUCCAAAUCUUCCAUCUAUAGGCCUAGUUGGGUGCUGACCUUUACUUUGAAUCCUUAAAGUUAAUACGAUCUCUUUUAGAGCAAAGACUAAUUUCUAAUUGACAUAAUUGAACCAAAGCAGUGUUUCUGUUGUACCCGCUCUUGUAUACAGACUGAACUGGCGCACUAUCUUAAGUGCAAGGCGUGUGAGUCUGGCCAGAGGGAUGGAGCGUUGGCGUUUCCCCUUAAGUCAGCAAUAUUAACCUUAUAUUGCCCCCACCCCCCACCCCCCAAAAAACCCAUGUUGCUCCUCAGUUAUUGUAAGAAUUAGUUUCACUUGGUUCAACAUGAAUGUUAGACGUUUAAAUCACAGCUUAAAAUCCUGUCACGUAAAGUAUGUUUACAACAACUGUACUUUACUCUUUAAUUUAUGGCCAUGAGCCAAACUACAAAGUCACAGCAGGCACAAAACGCCACUAUAACCCUGGCACAAAAGGCCUUUUACACAGCGCAACAAUGGUGGAGAGUGGACAGGCAAGUGUUCAAGGUGAGUCCUAUCCCUUACAGUUUAUAGGAAUUUUCCAAGCAGGAACUGGAGGCAUUGCAGAACUCGACUUGAGUUGGGAUCUGAAUGAAUUGGUCACUGAAAGACUGCUGGAGCAACAAUGUAAAGAAGUUAUUUUUCUUCAGGAGCUGAUAACUUAUAGCAGGUAUUAGGACCAAUCAGAGAGCACCUAACUCUUAAACACUCAUAGCAACAAGAUUUGUAAACAGGCAAAACCCUCCCUGGACGUGACAACACCAGACGUCUGCCUUCAAAAACUUAGGAUAGCAGCCAUGAUAAAGAUACGGCUUUAAACCAAAGUUUGUCCUCAGUGCAAUCAGUGAAUACUGUGUUCUGUAAGAUGGGGCUUACUGGCCAGUCACCAAGUUAAUGUGCAUUAACACUCUCCUAAUAACCCCUAUAUACACCCAGUAUCAUCCACACCCAGGCUCACUUUAACACUAAGGUGUUACUCCUGACAUCGCUAACAUUUACUGCCAGGGGCAAUUCUAGGUUGAAACUUUUAGGCGAGGCUCAGCUCCCAAUCAUGUGACGUGUACAAUGCCUUGUAAUUAAUAUUAAGGGUAUAUGCGUGUAAUGGCAUCAGCCACACAUGGGUAAAGGCCAUUCGUUCACUUUAUUAGUUUGGUUUGCAGUUGCUUCACUAAUAGAAUUCAUUAAGCAUUUUACUUAAACCUAACACUGGUAUUAUGAACCACGGUUUUUCUAAAAAUGUUUUGUUAUAUUAAUUAUUUGACUUGCCUGGUUUGGGGCGGUGGCUGUUUCCUGGCGUGGCUGAGGACUUUGGACCAACCAUGUGCUUGUCAGAAACGGGUGUUUUAGGUUUACUUAUGAUGAUCUGUGCUUGGUUAGUAUUGGUC